GAAUCGAACCUGCCCGGUGGGUGUUUUUAACGGCCGCGGUACUCUGACCGUGCAAAGGUAGCAUAAUAAUUUGUCUUGUAAUUGAAGUCUUGUAUGAAUGGUUUAACAAGGGUGUUGCUGUCUCCUUUUAAUUUUUUAAAAUUUUAUGUUUAAGUUAAGAAGCUUAAAUUUAAUUAAAAGACAAGAAGACCCUAUCGAGCUUUAAAAGUUUUAUUAGGGGUGGCUUUAUAGUAGUUUAUAUGCUAAACUGAUAAGUAAAUUUUGGUUGGGGCGACUGGGGAACAAAUGAAGCUUCCUUUAGAUAGGGUACUGGUGGGUAUAGAUCCAAAAUAUUUUGAUUAAUAGAAUUAGUUACCGUAGGGAUAACAGCAUUAUCUUUUUUGAGAGUUCAUAUCGAAAAAGAGGGUUGUGACCUCGAUGUUGGACCAAAAUGUCCUAAAGAUGUAGUAGUCUUUAAGGGUUGGUC
rnacentral:rRNA from 1 species